GACGAACGCUGGCGGCGUGCCUAAUACAUGCAAGUAGAACGCUGAAGGAGGAGCUUGCUUCUCUGGAUGAGUUGCGAACGGGUGAGUAACGCGUAGGUAACCUGCCUGGUAGCGGGGGAUAACUAUUGGAAACGAUAGCUAAUACCGCAUAAUAUUGACUAUUGCAUGAUAGUCAGUUGAAAGGUGCAACUGCACCACUACCAGAUGGACCUGCGUUGUAUUAGCUAGUUGGUGGGGUAACGGCUCACCAAGGCGACGAUACAUAGCCGACCUGAGAGGGGGAUCGGCCACCCUGGGACUGAGACACGGCCCAGACUCCUACGGGAGGCAGCAGUAGGGAAUCUUCGGCAAUGGACGGAAGUCUGACCGAGCAACGCCGCGUGAGUGAAGAAGGUUGUCGGAUCGUAAAGCUCGGUUGUAAGAGAAGAACGAGUGUGAGAGUGGAAAGCUCACACUGUGACGGUAUCUUACCAGAAAGGGACGGCUAACUACGUG
rnacentral:rRNA from 1 species